UUGAUUUAAGAAGGCGAUUAUUUGUAAUAGCCGCAUUCUUAAAUCAAGUGCUUUAUUUACGAAUGUGACUAUUACAAAUAGUCACAUUCGUAAAUAAAGCA
rnacentral:pre_miRNA from 1 species